rnacentral:rRNA from 1 species
UACGUAGGGUCCAAGCGUUGUCCGGAAUUACUGGGCGUAAAGAGCUCGUAGGCGGUUUGUCGCGUCGUCCGUGAAAACUUGGGGCUCAACCCCAAGCUUGCGGGCGAUACGGGCAGACUUGAGUACUGCAGGGGAGACUGGAAUUCCUGGUGUAGCGGUGAAAUGCGCAGAUAUCAGGAGGAACACCGGUGGCGAAGGCGGGUCUCUGGGCAGUAACUGACGCUGAGGAGCGAAAGCGUGGGGAGCGAACAGG